AUUGAACGCUGGCGGCAUGCUUUACACAUGCGAGUCGAACGGCAGCGCGGGCUUCGGCCUGGCGGCGAGUGGCGAACGGGUGAGUAAUACAUCGGAACGUGCCCAGUAGUGGGGGAUAGCUCGGCGAAAGCCGGAUUAAUACCGCAUACGACCUGAGGGUGAAAGCGGGGGAUCUUCGGACCUCGCGCUAUUGGAGCGGCCGAUGGCAGAUUAGCUAGUUGGUGGGGUAAAGGCCUACCAAGGCGACGAUCUGUAGCUGGUCUGAGAGGACGACCAGCCACACUGGGACUGAGACCCGGCCCAGACUCCUACGGGAGGCAGCAGUGGGGAAUUUUGGACAAUGGGCGAAAGCCUGAUCCAGCAAUGCCGCGUGUGUGAUGAAGGCCUUCGGGUUGUAAAGCACUUUUGGCGGGAACGAAAAGGACUGUGCCAAUACCACGGUUCGAUGACGGUACCCGCAGAAUAAGCACCGGCUAACUACGU
rnacentral:rRNA from 1 species